rnacentral:tRNA from 1 species
UGUAGCUCAGUGGUAGAGCACUUGCCUCACACGCACGAAGCCUUAGGUUCAGUUCCUGGUA